rnacentral:tmRNA from 1 species
GGGGACGUUACGGAUUCGACAGGGGUGGUCUGAGCUUGAGUUGCGCGUCGGAGGGCUCGGCUCCGUCAGAAACGGCAUUUAUAAUAACAGGCAAAACAAACAACAACCUAGCAUUCGCAGCAUAAGCUGUUGAAUCUGCCUUGCAGUUCCAUCGCCCAUGUGGCAUUGUAAGGCUCAACUUAAGUGGGAUACGACGGCUGUUGCCUCCUGAGGCAGACGUAAGAGAUUCGCAGGAUAGCGCACAGGCCGCCUAGUUUGCCGGCAAAAUGAUGCGCGAAACCUAAUUGGCAAACUAUACGCGUAGACGCUCGAGUAUAUGAGCCUCUGGACGCGGGUUCGACUCCCGCCGUCUCCAUUC